CCCUUAGAUGUUCUGGGCCGCACGCGCGCUACACUGAUGCAUUCGACGAGUCUAAAACCUGCUCUGAUAGGGGUGGGUAAUCUUUUGAAUGUGCAUCGUGAUUGGGAUAGAUGAUUGCAAUUUUUCAUCUUCAACGAGGAAUGCCUAGUAAACGCAAGUCAUCAGCUUGCAUUGAUUACGUCCCUGCCCUUUGUACACACCGCCCGUCGCUCCUACCGAUUGAAUGAUCCGAUGAAUAUCAUGGAUUGAGGAUUAUAGCAGGUUCGCCUGUCUUGAUCUUCGAGAAGUGAAGUAAAUCUUAUCAUUUAGAGGAAGGAGAAGUCGUAACA
rnacentral:rRNA from 1 species